UGUAAGUUUACAUAGUCCCAGGUUGUGACGGGUUCCCGGGACUAUGUCAACUUCCAGC
rnacentral:pre_miRNA from 1 species